CUGGUUGGUUGGCCAGAGUUUCUCAUCAAGGAGUACAUGCUGUUUGCUCCCCAGAUGGACAGCCUGGAUGAGCUACAAAUCCACAGAGCCUGGGACACAAGAAAUUCCAAUGCUCAACAAAUGCUGCAAGUAGGUCAAACCUUCACUGGAAAACCAGGUUGGGUUGCAGACACCAGAUGACAGGAGGGGCAGUGACAGAUUGGAGUGACCCAGAGUACUGGAACAAUGAUGGCAAACCUAACAAGUCAGUUCCAUAACAUGUUUGCCAUGGAGAGGGAGGAAAAGGAAGUCAAUGUGAGGACACCCCCAGACAAGAUUCCAUGUCCUCUCCUCUGGAGCCACAGCAUUCCUGUGAACACACCCUGCUCAGCUCUGUGUGACUUGGGACAGUUAUAAAGCCACUCAGAGAUUUAAUUCCUUCUUUCAUGAGAUGGACAUAAUAUACCUAUCUUUCAAGUUUCUCUGGAGGAAUGGCAU